GCCGGCGCCUCCGGAAGACGCCGGGCAGGGUCCCCGCGCCCAGAGUGGCCUGAGGGUCGAGGGGAGCGCAGGUGUCUGCCCGGAUCACCCACGUACCGCUCUGUAACCGAGCCAGAAACGCAAGGUGUCCCCUGUGUCCUCAGCCCCGGACUAGCCAGCGACUUCCUUUCCGGGUCCAGUGCAGGUCCCAGAGCUACCACCCACCCCAAAAGCAAAGGAACUGAAAAAGUACCUCGAUUUGCAGUAUUUUUCCACACCACAUGCACACGGAAUUGGAUCACUAAUCAAUAGGUAUUGUUUGUUAGAACCUUCGUCGUUUUAGGCCAUUUCAUUUCGUUUCUGGCUGCACAUUCAGAGCUCAAGCUGAUGCUCCUGGCUCCUGCCUCACUCCAGCUGUGUCCCGGUUACUGCUCUCUGAAAUCCAGAGCUGCCCCCCUCCUGAUUCAGGAAUGUUCAGACAUGUGCACCUGCUAAGGAGCCUUGGCAAGUAGCAAAAUGCUAGGGCUCCACUCGCCUGCACAUAUGGAGGCCAGACAUUCUAUGCCACAGGACUGCGGCAUACCAAGGACUGACUUUGGACGCAUUCUCCAAGCAGCGAGCCUCAUAGAACUGCAGUCUAGGAAGCUCAGAGAGGGCCCAACCAAGGGCGAGAGAGGCUGAUCUAAAAAUAAGAUUUACAGUGCACUAAAGUACCUGUUAAGCAGGUUAUAUGCAUUGUCACAGUACUUGCCAUAACUCUGUGUGACAGAUAACUUGCAUUAACAUUUUAUAGAUGAAGAAACAGGCCAAGCUAAUCCAGUUCUGGAUUUCAGAAGAGAUCUACUUGGUGCUGAUACUUACUGCUACCAUGUACUGUCUCUCCGUGCUCUUCUGCCUUAUAUCUAGAAUCAACUGGGAAGAGAUCUAGAAAAAGUUUUCUAAUAUACAUUUAAAAGAUUGUACAGGAUUGGACUGCUACACAGAGAUCUUCUGGAAAAGGCUUCUCCCACUAAUGUUACCAACCUUGACACAUGGCCAGAGUGUUUGUCAUCCAAAAGGGGGUUGCUCUUAUUCAUACAAAAGGUGAAUAUUACUUUGUGAUCAGAAGUGGGAGCCAGAGAAGACCCCAGCAACUCUCAGGCUGGUGAGCAAACAGAUACCACAGUCAACUGAGCCCGCCGCUUAGUUACCAGCCCUGAAGUUGGAGGGUGAUGUGUGUUCUGCCGUGCAGUUGCCAUCGUCCUGUACAGAUCUGCCCUCUUCCUUUCAAUGCACAAGGCCUCCGAAGAUGCUAUCCUUUUGCUUCAAGCUUGUACUUUCCCCACAUUUUCAGAAAACUGUGCCUUGGCUCUCAGACUGACUUAGCUGGAGUACCAGAUAUGUUUCCUCUAGCUCUCUAUAAAAACUAGUACUUACCACUC